rnacentral:rRNA from 1 species
GGGCCCGCACAAGCAGCGGAGCAUGUGGUUUAAUUCGAAGCAACGCGAAGAACCUUACCAGGUCUUGACAUCCAGUAAAGCCUGUAGAGAUACAGAUUCCCUUCGGGGGUACUGAGACAGGUGGUGCAUGGUUGUCGUCAGCUCGUGUCGUGAGAUGUUGGGUUAAGUCCCGCAACGAGCGCAACCCUUGUUGAUAGUUACUAACGCGUGAAGGUGAGGACUCUAUCAAGACCGCCGGGGACAACUCGGAGGAAGGUGGGGACGACGUCAAAUCAUCAUGCCCCUUAUGACCUGGGCUACACACGUGCUACAAUGGCCGACACAGAGAGGAGCGAACCCGCAAGGGGGAGCAGAUCUCAAAAAAGCGGUCUCAGUUCAGAUUGUGGGCUGCAACCCGCCCACAUGAAGGAGGAGUUGCUAGUAAUCGCGAAUCAGCAUGUCGCGGUGAAUACGUUCCCGGGCCUU